rnacentral:rRNA from 1 species
UACGUAGGGGGCAAGCGUUGUCCGGAUUUAUUGGGCGUAAAGAGCGUGUAGGCGGCCAUACAGGUCAGCUGUGAAAACUCGAGGCUCAACCUCGAGACGUCGGUUGAAACCGUAUGGCUAGAGUCCGGAAGAGGAGAGUGGAAUUCCCGGUGUAGCGGUGAAAUGCGCAGAUAUCGGGAAGAACACCGGUGGCGAAGGCGGCCUUCUGGACAGUGACUGACGCUGAGACGCGAAAGCGUGGGGAGCAAACAGG